rnacentral:tRNA from 1 species
GGUCCGUUAGCUCAGUCGGCAGAGCGCGGUGCUGAUAACGCCGAGGUCGUGAGUUCGAGCCUCACACGGACCA